rnacentral:rRNA from 1 species
AACGAACGCUGGCGGCAUGCCUAACACAUGCAAGUCGAACGAGACCUUCGGGUCUAGUGGCGCACGGGUGCGUAACGCGUGGGAACCUGCCCUUAGGUUCGGAAUAACUCCCCGAAAGGGGUGCUAAUACCGGAUAAUGUCUUCGGACCAAAGAUUUAUCGCCUUUGGAUGGGCCCGCGUGGGAUUAGCUAGUUGGUAGGGUAAAAGCCUACCAAGGCGACGAUCCAUAGCUGGUCUGAGAGGAUGAUCAGCCACACUGGGACUGAGACACGGCCCAGACUCCUACGGGAGGGAGGAGUGGGGAAUAUUGGACAAUGGGCGAAAGCAUGAUCCAGCAAUGCCGCGUGAGUGAUGAAGGCCUUAGGGUUGUAAAGCUCUUUUACCCGGGAUGAUAAUGACAGUACCGGGAGAAUAAGCUCCGGCUAACUCCGUG